ACGGAAACCGUGUCGUUUUCAGAAGAAAAGGAUGCCUUUUAUAAACGUUUUAGCUCCCCGUUGGAAAAAGUCAUGAUGAUUGGUUUAUUUUUCCGCCGAGUUCCCUCCCUCCUCCUCCUCUGUUCACCGCCGCGACUCGGCUCUAUCUCUAUACAGAGAAUGUAACCUUUCUAAUUGUAUGGAGAUUUCGUCUCUGUAUGUAGACUGUAUUCGUUUUUUUUUUUGUAUGUGAUGUACACACUCACACUGAUAGGGUAUAAAAUUGAUUCCGAACCUCUAAAAACAAAUCUGGUAGAUAGAUAGUGAUAGCCUUCGUUGAGACUUCCUCGAUUAUCUUGACAAGUCCAUUUCUCUAGGGCUCGUGAUGGGGUUGGACUCUCUCUCACUGAAUUCACCUUUUUACGCUUUGAUUUGUUUUUUUUCAGAGAGAUAUUGUAAGCAUCUCAAUUCUCAAAGGAUUCAAUAAACAAUCUUCUCACACUGACUGAGUUAGAAAGUGGGUCACCUGGUGUCGCAGGUGAGGACUGCACAAAUGGCACAGCCCGAGAGAACUUGAAAGGAGCCUGAAACACCACGUAUGAAAGGCUUAUACUGGACUGCAAUGUGCCUAGUAACUAACUCGACCAGACUGGUAUAAAUCGUAUUGCUAGGUUUUAUAUUCAGUUUGCACAAAGUGAGAAGUGGAAAUCGGAAAGUAAGUAGCUGAGGCUCAUAAUGUAGCUAUUUCCACCAGCUUAAUAACCUUGGCAUGUCAAUUGCAGAAUGAAAUGAAAUCAGUCUUGGGAUCGAUACUAUAUUUACCAGGUAAACAACUUGUCUCUUUUUCCCACUGCACUUUAAGCUCUCCUUUGGCUUCUAUCUCAUCUAGUUUAAGCAUUUGUACCAUUAAGCAACUCUCUUUCAACCCCCAAAAGCUCCUAGUCUGCAGCUUUGAUACUUCCUUGAACAUUCCCCUCCAAUACGAAUAACCUAAAUGGUUUGUGGUUCUAAUGACUCAUUCUUGGAACUUUGGAAGCAUAGAAUGUUACUCGCAAGGGAUUUUACGGGAAAGAGAUGGUUGUUGAUACAAGAGGAUAUAGUAGGUUCACCUUUUUGGAAAGCUUAUCAACCUCAUCACUCACUCCCACCGAUUUUGGCCUUUUGUACGUUUCCCAAUCUGUGAAUAGUUAAGCUUUUGUCUUUGGGGAAGAAUUAAGUUAAUGUGAGAGUUUUCAGGGUUAUGUCUAAAAUAAAGUACAAAGAGUGUUAGUAGAGUAAGCAAUCAAAAAAGUAAACUUUGAAAACAACCUCUCAGCUCCUUUUAUGGGAAAUCAUACUCUGAUCGUAAUCGUAUCAUUAAAAUAUCAUAAAGGUUAUAUAUGUUGUGGCCAUUGUAGAGUUAACGUUUCUCGUAAUUCAUCACUCGUUUUCUAUU